GAGACAGAGUCGGUCAUUUUCCCUGCCGACUCCACAGCCCUGGUUAGUGUGGCAGGACUAUACUUGUAUGACUAUUGGUGAAUUUCUAUGUCUAGCUCACACCUGCCUGUACUUACAUAUGGCUACCAUUUAAAUUUAAAAAAUAAUUUUUGUACUUGCCAGUUACUGAACAGUUUUAUUCAUGGAUAAAAUGGUGAAGUCAAAGCCAUGAUGGUGUGGUCUAUUGAUAAGCAGCAAAGGCUCAGGAUAUAUGUCUUUCCUCACCAAAAAAGCAAAUCAUUGCAAUAUGAUUUAGGAAGAACUGUGCCUUUAUCAAAUAAAGGAGUGGUUUAAAGAAAGUAAACCUCAUUUUUAUGCAAGAUGAGAUGUACUUCUGUAAAAAUAUUUAGCUAGUUAUGUGCAAAUAUUUAGCUAAAAUAGUGUUUGUGUACUUAGUUGACUCAGAAAUUUCUGAUGUGGUGUCUGUGGAAAACAUGUAAUCUGGCAUUUCUUGUAAAAAAGUCAAUAAAAUUACUCCUGCUGUCAAAAGAAAAAAAAAAAAUAUUAAGGGCUAUCCAUUUUUUCCCUAUAAUAAUUGUGCACUAAAUUAAUUUUUAGUUUUUGUAUUAAGAAAAAAAGAAAGAUAUUUUCAUGCAUAGGUUGGUAUUGUAAUUUUGUAGGAUACUGCAUUUAAUAAAAAUGAAACGAUUUAAAAGCUGCUGUUACAUUCUGGUAAUUUUCUUGGAAUAGGUAAUUUUAGCUUGUAUGUUUUCUUAAAGCAAAUAAAUAAAAUAACUUUAAGUGUA